AAAAACAAAAAUAGCAAUUCAUGAUUGGCUGUUUGUGAAAAGACUGAGUGUAUAAAUAAUAAACAGAGAAAGAAAAUUACUCAGAGAUCUCCUCUCUUGGACAGAGCCCUCACAUCAGCACAGACCAAUGAACACUGAAUUCACGCAUCAACAUCAGCAACGCUGCCUGAACCGCCACAGACUCGUCAAGAAUACUUCUCUUUCCAUCUGAAAAUCAUUGUUCACUGAAUUGGAAGCAGCUGCAGAGCCAGAAGAUUCGCCAUCCCGCAGAGAAAUCAAGAGCAUCACAACACCAAGAAAAAUACAAGAUGGCUGCUGGUGGUAUUGCUCGUCUUUUUAAAUACCCUAAAUGUGUGAAGAAACGUGACAGGGCUGCAUUCAGAGAAAAAACACUGCGUGUCAAUGAAAACAUUCUGUUUAAACAUACAAAUGCUGGCAAUGUAGAACUCAUGUUCUACAGGACACAUGUCAGAGAAUGGCUGCGUGUAAUAAGAGAGCAAUACCCUGAAUUUCAGGAAACUCAGCAGGAUGGUAGAAUCAUCUUUGAGUCUCGACAAGAUGAAGGUACCAUAACUUUGUAUCCUUGUGCCAAAGUCUUGGUUCAUGGUAAAAAUCUAAUGGGGAGGUUUGGGGAAAAUUUUCUACAAAUGAAACAAACAGUCAGACCAGGCACUGGUGGUACUGAUGGUAGAGCUCGUCCUUUUAAAUACCCUAAAACAAGAAGCGGCAAAGGAAAGAAAGAGUUCAAAGAGCAAACACUGCAUGACAAUGAAGACACUCUCUAUUAUGACAAACGAGUUGGUAGCAAAUGGAAUCUCAUUUUCUUUACCAAACAUGUCAUAGCAUGGCUGGAUGAAAUGAAGAGAAAAUUUCCUAAACUUCAGGAAAUAACACAGGAUAGACUUACCAGAUUGAAGCAGCCCAAAUCAGGUACCAUAUCUUUACAUCCUAGUGUAAAGGUUGUGGUAACAGGCCAACUGGUGGAGAAGUUUGAGGCAGAAUUUCUAGAAAUGGUACCAUGGACCCUGACAACAAGUCUGAGUGCCAUGUUUCAAGCACGUAAAAGGACUGACAGUGAGAAUGAACUUCCUAAUGAGCCAUAGGGUGAAGGCACUCUCCAUACCCCACCCAAUUCAAUCAAACCCCACCCCACCUGAGGGCCUGUGUCCACAUCCCAGUGUUUUCUCAGCACCGGCACAUUUUUAAUCAAUAAUACCCAAUUAAGAGUGCAAAAACAUGCUGCGCCUGGUGUCUUUUUUUUAGUGCCUUAUCUGUGUGGCCGUUUUGAGCACUUCUAUUUGAAAAUCUCUAAACUUUUCAGAAAAACGCUGGCGACAUCACAGCGGCUGCUUUAGCUUAGGCCACGGUCACAACAAACACAGAAAAGCAGAACCAUAGUAAGCUUGCUAAGUGUGUAAUCAACCUUCUGUUAACUUAGCCUUGCAUUAGCUACCUUGAUAACAUUAAUGUCAAGAUAAUAUUAAGUCCUAAUCCAAUCACACACUCCCCGAACAACGGAUGACAAAUAGAUCGUCUGAUGAACAGAACAGAAAAUUCUGAUGACAAAAGAGAAAAAAACAAAACAAACUCAGAACAGAGUACUUAUAAAUAGAUUUUUAGGGCUUUCUUCUACCAGCAUAUUUCAUUAAUAGGUAACUGGGUUGUAAUAUCAAUAAUAUUUUUUUUUUGUCAUGCAGUGUUUAACCUAGUUUUUCUUUUCUAGCAGUAGUGCUUAGUUGAAUGAGGUUUUAUUUUGCUCCACUGGAAAACGUAAGUGCGUCCGCUGACACGAAAAGGACUUCAGAUGCACAUUUUUACUCAGUCUUAAAUGUUGAAUUAUGUUUGCUAAAAUGCUUCCGAUAUCCCAUAUGCUGUUACAAUCGCUCCUGCACACGGGGGCAGAUACAGCAUUUGACAUCAGGUGUUUCGAUUAAGAUUGUCACUCUAACAUGGCUUGUAAUUAAAAAAAAUUGAUUGAUUAAAGGUUAAAAAGCAGAACACAAGUUAUGUACAUAAAAAAUGUAUCUAAAUAGUUCAAGACGC